UGCAUUAAAACUUCAGUAACUUAAUUUGAUUGGGGAAUUUGCAAGGAAGGCCAUCAGCAGUCAAACUAAAUUUGCUUUGAUUUCGGCAAAGAUAGGGUGUUCGUUUUUCGUAGAUAGACUAUAUUAUGCUUAAUACCUGUGUUUUUCACCUUUUUAUCAAAGUAGCGAAACUAGCCGGCUGGCAGAUGACAAAGUUCCCAGCUUGAGAUAAAACGUAUUCGAAUGAACAAUGAGUGGAAAUGUAUUUUCGUGUAGGUAAUUUUUCGGUUCAUUCAUGGGCCAGGAUUCACUUCAAUCGGCACAAAGGCACCGCAGGAUGUCUACUCUGAAUGGGAAUCGAUGUUUCGGUUGUUUUUCGUUUCCGUUUCCUGUCCUGCGUCGCAACGAAUGCGAUUUAAUUUCCAUUGUCCCAUUGCCAAUCAAUACAAAAGUCAUUUCGAAAGUAUCCAGCCAGUACACUGCUGUGUGAGAGUUGGCUAAGUAGUAGACACUUAGCCGUGAAGUGUUCGGAUUGCAGCCGUGGCCAGGUGUUCACUUGACUCGGCCCUCUUGAUUCAGUUUGAGCCGGACGAGAUUUUAAGCCGUGUUCUGAUCAGAAGAUACCUCGCUGCUCAUUCCAAAAAUAUCGAUUUAACUUUAAAACCAGAUUAACCCAAUAAUGAUUUUGAAUCUACGACUCAAACCAAAUGGAAAAAAUGUAACUUCUAGUUCGUUCUUAAUUAUGUUAUAGUAUCUUUGUCGGCGCCAAAUCUAGAAGUCUCUAACUCAUUCCAUCUUUUUAUAGCUGUCAUCAACAUGACAAAGCGGCUUUGCCGAGUAAUUUUGUUGGGAGGCUUUAGUCUUUUGGCCAAGCAAUAUAAAUGUCCAUUUUCAUGUUUGAUUACGUGACACAUUUACUGAUUGCUACUCGUAAAAAUGUGCCUGUCUGCCAACAAAAAAACAGGAGGAACAAAAAGUUCGGCAGGAUUUAAAGGUGUUUGCUGGUUAACGAACUCUGGAAAGGAUUAAGUAAGAAGAUAGCCCUUAAACUUUAGGAAAUACAUGAAAGAGUUAGAUUUUAACAUAACCCAAAUUAAAAGUUCAUUCGAAGCACAUGAUAUUCAAAUACAUGCAAUAAAAGAGAAGAAAUUUUAGUCUAAAUAUCAUAAAUUUGGGAAACAUUAGGAACUCAAG
rnacentral:sRNA from 13 species